UUGCGCAAUGGGCGAAAGCUGACGCAGCGACGCCGCGUGGGGGAUGAAGGCCCUCGGGUUGUAAACCCCUUUCGGCAGGGACGAAGCGAUCGUGACGGUACCUGCAGAAGAAGCCUCGGCUAACUACGUGCCAGCAGCCGCGGUAACACGUGGGAGGCGAGCGUUGUCCGGAUUCAUUGGGCGUAAAGAGCGCGCAGGCGGUUUGGCAAGUCGGAUGUGAAAUCCCGAGGCUCAACCUCGGGACUGCAUCCGAUACUGCCCGACUAGAGGUAGGUAGGGGAGAUCGGAAUUCCUGGUGUAGCGGUGAAAUGCGCAGAUAUCAGGAGGAACACCGGUGGCGAAGGCGGAUCUCUGGGCCUUACCUGACGCUCAGGCGCGAAAGCUAGGGGAGCGAACAGGAUUAGAUACCCUGGUAGUCCUAGCCGUAAACGUUGGGCGCUAGGUGUGGGCGGACAUCGACCCCGUCCGUGCCGAAGCUAACGCAUUAAGCACCCCGCCUGGGGAGUACGGCCGCAAGGCUAAAACUCAAAGGGAAUUGACGGGCCCCGKACAAGCGGCGGAGCAUGUUGCUUAAUUCGAUGCGACGCGAAGAACCUUACCUGGGCUUKACAUGCAGGGUGUAAACCCGUGAAUGCGGGCGCUCUUCGGAGCCUGUACAGGUGGUGCAUGGCUGUCGUCAGYUCGUGCCGUGAGGUGUUGCYUUAAGUGGCGCAACGAGYGCAACCCCUGUCYUUAGUUGCCAGCG
rnacentral:rRNA from 1 species